GGAGAACCGAAACAAGCAGGCCAUUAACCACACAUCAGGACGUAAAUCAUUCGUCCGAUUACUUGAGCAAAAGCGCAAUGAGAAUGGAAAUUUGGUCGACUUCUACAAAGAGACGCGUUGGUCGAAGAAAAAGAAUGCAUUUGUCACAGAAGCUACAGAAAGUACUUAUAAGGAGAUGCAAGGUAGGUUGGAUGGCCUAGGACCAGAGCAAUGUAGUGAUGAGGCAGCAGUGAUUGUCUUU